rnacentral:rRNA from 1 species
AGUGGCGGACGGGUGAGUAACGCGUGAGAAUCUGCCUUGGGGUCGGGGACAACCACUGGAAACGGUGGCUAAUACCGGAUAAGCCGAUUGGUGAAAGAUUUAUUGCCCGAAGAGGAGCUCGCGUCUGAUUAGCUAGUUGGUGAGGUAAGAGCUCACCAAGGCAGCGAUCAGUAGCUGGUCUGAGAGGACGAUCAGCCACACUGGGACUGAGACACGGCCCAGACUCCUACGGGAGGCAGCAGUGGGGAAUUUUCCGCAAUGGGCGAAAGCCUGACGGAGCAAGACCGCGUGAGGGAGGAAGGCUCUUGGGUUGUAAACCUCUUUUCUCAGGGAAGAAGAUCUGACGGUACCUGAGGAAUCAGCCUCGGCUAACUCCGUGCCAGCAGCCGCGGUAAUACGGAGGAGGCAAGCGUUAUCCGGAAUUAUUGGGCGUAAAGCGUCCGCAGGUGGCGAUUCAAGUCUGCUGUCAAAGCACGGGGCUUAACUCCGUAAAGGCAGUGGAAACUGAAUAGCUAGAGUGCCGUAGGGGUAGAGGGAAUUCCCGGUGUAGCGGUGAAAUGCGUAGAGAUCGGGAAGAAUAUCGGUGGCGAAAGCGCUCUACUGGACGGCAACUGACACUCAGGGACGAAAGCUAGGGGAGCGAAUGGGAUUAGAUACCCC